rnacentral:rRNA from 1 species
AUUGAACGCUGGCGGCAUGCCUUACACAUGCAAGUCGAACGGUAACAGGUCUUCGGAUGCUGACGAGUGGCGAACGGGUGAGUAAUACAUCGGAACGUGCCUAGUAGUAGGGGAUAACUACUCGAAAGAGUGGCUAAUACCGCAUGAGAUCUACGGAUGAAAGCAGGGGAUCGCAAGACCUUGUGCUACUAGAGCGGCCGAUGGCAGAUUAGGUAGUUGGUGGGAUAAAAGCUUACCAAGCCGACGAUCUGUAGCUGGUCUGAGAGGACGAUCACCCACGCUGGGCCUGAGACACGGCCCGGACUCGUACGGGAGGCGGCAGUGGGGAAUUUUGGACAAUGGGCGCAAGCCUGAUCCAGCAAUGCCGCGUGCAGGAUGAAGGCCUUCGGGUUGUAAACUGCUUUUGUACGGAACGAAAAGCCCUGGGUUAAUACCCUGGGGUCAUGACGGUACCGUAAGAAUAAGCACCGGCUAACUACGUGCCAGCCGCCGCGGUAAGAC